UACGUAGGGGGCUAGCGUUGUCCGGAAUUAUUGGGCGUAAAGAGCGUGUAGGCGGUUCGAUAAGUCUGCUGUGAAAGUCCAGGGCUCAACCCUGGGAUGCCGGUGGAUACUGUCGAGCUCGAGUCCGGAAGAGGCGAGUGGAAUUCCUGGUGUAGCGGUGAAAUGCGCAGAUAUCAGGAGGAACACCAAUUGCGAAGGCAGCUCGCUGGGACGUUACUGACGCUGAGACGCGAAAGCGUGGGGAGCAAACAGG
rnacentral:rRNA from 1 species